rnacentral:rRNA from 1 species
AUGGUUUCGAGGGCACUCACAAGGAAAGGAACUGCUCUUGCUGAACUUGCCAAGUCUUCCAAAGACUACAAUGUUGCCAUUGAGACUUUCCAGAAGGCUCUAACUGAGCAUCGAAACCCAGAUACCCUGAAAAUACUAAAUGAUGCUGAACGAGCAAAGAAGGAGCUCGAGCAACAAGAGUACUAUGAUCCAAAAAUAGCUGAUGAGGAGCGAGAGAAAGGUAAUGAGUUCUUUAAGCAGCAAAAAUACCCAGAAGAAGCGAAACAUUACACUGAAGCGCUCAGGAGAAACGCAAAGGAUCCAAAGGUAUAA